UGGGGAAUUUUCCGCAAUGGGGGCAACCCUGACGGAGCAACGCCGCGAAAGUAAGGAGGAAGGUCUGCCGAAGAGGCGGAUCUGACCGAUUUACAGUAAGGACGGGCUAAGUUCGUGCCAGCAGCCGCGGUAAGACGAACCGUCCAAACGUUAUUCGGAAUUAUUGGGCUUAAAGGGUGCGUAGGCGGCGCGGUAAGUCAGGUGUGAAAUCCCACGGCUCAACCGUGGAACUGCGCUUGAUACUGCCGUGCUUGAGGGAGACAGAGGUAAGCGGAACUGAUGGUGGAGCGGUGAAAUGCGUUGAUAUCAUCAGGAACACCAGUGGCGAAAGCGGCUUACUGGGUCUCUUCUGACGCUGAGGCACGAAAGCUAGGGUAGCGAACGGGAUUAGAUACCCCGGUAGUCC
rnacentral:rRNA from 1 species